rnacentral:rRNA from 1 species
CUGAUUAUAUUAAAGAGCCGCAGUAUUCUGACUGUGCGAAGGUAGCAUAAUAAAUUGUCUUUUAAAUGGAGGCUUGAAUGAAAGGUUGGACAAAGUAUCAUCUGUUUCUUAAAUAUUUAUUGAAUUUGACUUUCAAGUGAAAAGGCUUGAAUAAAUUAAAAAGACGAUAAGACCCUAUAAAUCUUUACAAUAAACAUGUUCUAUAUUUUAAUUUAUAAGUAUAUAAAAUAUUAAAUUUGUAUUUGUUUCGCUGGGGCGGCGUGGAUAUAUUAAUAAACUGUCUGUGUGUUAAAUCCAAUAAUUAUUGAUUAGUGAGAUUGAUCCUUAAAUAGAUUAAAAGAUUAAGAUACUUUAGGGAUAACAGCGUUAUUUUUUUUGAGAGUUCUUAUCGAAGAAAAAGUUUGCGACCUCGAUGUUGAAUUAAAGUAUCUUUAUGGUGCAGCCGCUAUAAGAGAGAGUCUGUUCGACUUUUAAUACUUUACAUGAUCUGA